rfam:Pteropus vampyrus cont1.270784, whole genome shotgun sequence.
CUUCCACUCGGUAGAGCUCAGCAUCUCUGGGGCCUCAACUCCUUAUCCAUCUGGGGCUGCUGCUCUGCAUCGGGGCAGUGAGCUCUCUCCUCCUACGCCCU